GUCAGGGAAGCUGCAGUGCCUGCUUGGCUGCUCCUCAGCACCAGGAAUGAGAUACAGGAAGGAAGGGUUGAAGGUUUAUUUCUCAUACAUGCUCAUGACUGACUUCAGUUCUGGUGAAGGAAGGUGGACUGACAGCCAGCCCCAGGGAAUGAGAGCAGACGAUGCAACAGCAAAGGCAAAUCCUUCUUCCUGCACAAUCCAGCUCUCCUCAACCCAGGAAGGAAUCCAAGUGGCUUUUUGUGCUUUUGCUGGCUGAGGUGGCAACAAUCACUGCUAUACAGGAUUCAAAUUGGGGGACAGCACCCACCAUGGGCUGUUGGUGCCUUGUGCAAGGCUGGAACCAGGGAGAUGCAAGCAAGAAGCAUCUUGAGGCACCAGGAAUUAUUGCCAGCUGUGAGGUGAAUGGUGCAGUCCCUGCUCAUGUGCACUUCAUGAUGGAAGGAACCAGUCUUGUGUGGAGAAGUAACUGGAAACUCACCCAGGGGAAAGGGCUGACAGUGCUAACAUUGCUCCUUGGCCCAAUUUCCAAGUCCGAUGUAGAAGUUACAUACCAGGAGCAGAAGGAGUGA
rnacentral:lncRNA from 1 species